GGGCAAGGCUCAAAGUAGAGGUCCUGUGUGUUUCAUGUGGUGUAGAGUGGGCUGGAAGAAUCUACUUCUAAUCUGGUGCACUCACACAGCAGAAAGUUGGAGCUAGUUAGGAGCUCAGAGAGGUUUGAGAGUUGUGGGCUCAGAUGCUCUCCAUAUUUGCCUCCUCACAGGCUACUUGGUCUUCCUCCUAACAUGGUGGCAAGUUUCAAAAAUAAACUUCCCAAGAGUGAGGAAAUAAAAGUUGCCAAUUUAUUAAGAACUGGGCCAGAAAUAGAAACAAUGUCACUCCCACAAUAUUUUGGUCAAGCUUCCUAGACUUCACUUUCCUAAAGAGGAAAUAAAUAUAGACUUCACAGAAGUACUAAAAAAAUGGGUGUUGUGAUAUAAAAUAUCUAGUCUCCCUUCAGAUACAAAUUGUUUACAUUUCUUCCACAUAUAUUCAUUAUUAUGGUUUAGAUAUGAGGUAUCCCACAAAAGCUCAUGUUCAAUGCAAGAAGGUUUAGAGGUGAAAUGAUUAGGUUAUGAGGGCCUUAACCUAAUCAGUGUGUUAUACCUGGUAAGGAUUACCUAGGUGGUGACUGUGGGCAGGUGGGGUGUGGGUGAAAAAGGUAGGUCACCAAGGGCAUGUUUUGGGAGUUUAUACUCUAUCCAUGCUUCCUGUCAUGUCCUAAGCUGCUUUCUACUCCUACAUUCUUCUGCCAUGAUGUCUGCUUCACCUUGAACCAAGAGUGAUGGAGUUGUCCAUCUAGGACUGAGAUCUGCAAAACUGUGAGCCCCAAAUAAACAUUUGCUCCUCUAAAAUUGUACUUGUCAGAUCUUCUGAUCAGUGCAGUGAAAAAGCUGAUUAAAACACUGACCCACUUCCGACACUUAAAAAGAGUCUCAUCAAUACUGCAUCAGAUUGAGCCUCAGGGCCUAAGAAUUAUCACUAAAAAUCAAGUGUAGGCAUAAAUGAGGCUCUUCAAAUAUGGGUAUUUAAGCAUAGUGCCUAAGUAUAGCCCCUCUUAGUGAGAAAACAAGAAUAGAAGACAAGUUCUCUGCCCAAUAUAGUCAGCAAACAAUGGUAAUGCAGGCCAGGGCACCUUUCAUAGAGUCUCCUGUUCAGAGAAAAAGGCAUGUAGUGGUGACUACAGCUACCCUGGUGCUACAGUCAUGCUAGUGUGUCCACUUCCUUGACUGUGGCUUAUUUAUAACCCCUGAGUAUUUCCUCUAUCAUUCAUGCUCCUCCUCUUUAGGUUCUAAGUGUCAUUCUCUAUAUCAUCCUUCCUUUUCAGUAAGAAAAUAGUUUGUAACAAAGUGGCUUCUGCAGUCUAUUCCAGCCCAUCAAAUAAUGUGGGCCCAAAGCUGUUAGGAUCUGUAAACAAGUCAAGAUGGUGCCUGGCAUUUUGCAGAGGGAGUGGUUUGUGAAGUAACGCCAGGGAGCCAUUAAGUGUGGAGAUUCCUUAUUGGUUGACUGCUGUAUCUAGUUUAUGUUAAUUAAGAUAAGCUGUGUGGAAUGUAUAUAUAUCCCUCUGGUCCUACAAUAAACGGAUCCCAUUCCUGCUGUAUCAAGGUACACAAGUUGUUCGUCAUGCCCU
rnacentral:lncRNA from 1 species